rnacentral:rRNA from 1 species
GAUGAACGCUGGCGGCGUGCCUAAUACAUGCAAGUCGAGCGAACAGACGAGGAGCUUGCUCCUCUGACGUUAGCGGCGGACGGGUGAGUAACACGUGGAUAACCUACCUAUAAGACUAGGAUAACUUCGGGAAACCGGAGCUAAUACCGGAUAAUAUAUUGAACCGCAUGGUUCAAUAGUGAAAGACGGUUUUGCUGUCACUUAUCGAUGGAUCCGCGCCGCAUUAGCUAGUUGGUAAGGUAACGGCUUACCAAGGCAACGAUGCGUAGCCGACCUGAGAGGGUGAUCGGCCACACUGGAACUGAGACACGGUCCAGACUCCUACGGGAGGCAGCAGUAGGGAAUCUUCCGCAGUGGGCGAAAGCUUGACGGAGCAACGCCGCGUGAGUGAUGAAGGUCUUCGGAUCGUAAAACUCUGUUAUUAGGGAAGAACAAAUGUGUAAGUAACUAUGCACGUCUUGACGGUACCUAAUCAGAAAGCCACGGCUAACUACGUG